UGUAAUGACCUUGAGCAUGCCCAGCAGCAGUGACUGACAGGUGGUGGGGUAAGGUCCACACAAUGACUGGGCUGGGCCCGUGCACACUCUGUGGAAGCUGCAGUUACAGCUGCAACAGAGGAGGUGACACAGCCAUAACACCCGAUGGUGGGCCCACGGUCCUCAGAUCCCUUGACCUGAGCCUGACACAAACUCUCCUGGCCUCACAGCCAGCUGCACAUGGAGACACCUCUGUGUCCAUCCUACACUCAGGGAAGCCGAGGAACAGAAGCUCUGGAUGCUGCUGUCUGGGCCUCCCAAGACCUGGAUUACAGGUGUGCACCAUCACGCCCCUUCAUAUGCUGCUGCAGGGACAAUCCUGUGUUCUGAGCAUGCCAGGCAAGCGAGCACUGUACCAGGGGAACCCAGUCUUUACCCUCAGCAAGGUCUGAGAGGGUGACUCCUGGUCAUGAGUUCUCUCCCCCAAGUUCCAUCUGCCUUUCCCUUACUGUCUGGGGCCUGUGCAUAAAAGGUCAGCUGAUGUCCGACUCUCCUAAGGAGGGUCUGGACCUGACAGGGCGGCCACGUGUCAGCUUCUGUCCCAGCACACUCAUACUGCAGCCCUGGCAGGUUCUGCAGGACCCCAGCUGGCCUGUGCUCAGUCCCACUGCUGCCCCCUGCUGGCUCCCUAACCCAAGUCCUGGGCUCUGCUCUGCUUCCAGUCUGGACUCAGUUGGAUCCCCAUGGACACCCUGCUGUGGGUGUGAUUUCUGUCCAGGACGCUGUGGGCAGUCUCCUGCAGUGUGGUCCUGCUUCCCCAAACCAGUGGUGGGCCCUGUAGCCAUGAUGCUUUCCCAGGGGAGGGGACAUUCUGUGGAAGAGCAGCCUGGGCUUCUGGUGUGCACACAGGGGCUUUUGCAUACAUGUGACCAUGUUGAGUGUCACUGCAGUGUUGGGACCUUGGUGUGCCUCAGGUACAAGUGUGCCCUGACAGCACAGAAUAACAAGUUAAUGUAAUUUGAAACAAACAAAUAAAGAAAUAAACAAACAAACAAAAAUACCUUAAAAAUAACAAACAAACAAAAUACCUUAAGUGCUUUUGGUCAUAUGUGACUGUAAUUCUAACUUGUGAGAGGCAGAGGCACAUGCAUCUCUGAGAGUUUGGAGCUAGCCUGGUCUAUAGAUCCAGCUUCUCUGUCUCCAGAAAACCAGACCAAAAGAACAAACCCCCAUAUCAAUAUACCAUCCGGCUGAGCCCAGAAUCCCAGGGUUGACUGUCCAGGUGGAUGGAGUCCCGAGUCUCAAUGACUGAGGUUGUCCUCUGGGUUACACAUGUAUGAGCACACAAAUCAUUGAAGGCUCCUACACAUUUGAUUAGCUGUCACAGUACUCAUCCUGGGUGAACUUGGGUGCCCAGGCCAGGCUUUGUGACUCCUCCGAUUCUAGUUCCCGACAGUGUCCUGUACAGGCCUAUGCCACCAUGGCCAGCUUCCUCUACUCACAUUCUUCCUGACUGACUCAGGGCAGAGACACAAACCCAAACCCCGGUACCAUGAAGAGCCCAAUGUCUGCUCCGCAGUAGGACCAUAAUUUUUUUUGAGGCAGAUCAGAGUCCCAGUCUCACUACCUGUGUCUGACCAGGGGUUCAGCACCUGUUGAGAAUGUUGGUUGUGUGUAAAUCUUUGCUGUGGCCCCAUUGUGGUUUUCCCCUAUUGGACAAUGGAAAAGAACCUGGGAAGUCACGUGACCAUUUAAGCAACAGCUUUAAGGCCCAUCCCUUCUCUGUGCCCUGUUGUGUGUGGCAUGGGGCUGACAAAUGGACUCUUUAGAUGACUAGACAGACCUUAGUCAUGCCAUUCUGCUUGAGUGACCACUUCAGGGAUGCUCAGAGAAAGACCACCCAGCUGUCAGGCCCACUGUGACCAUGGCUGCUGCUGGGUUUCUCCUCAGUGGGCCUGGGUCCAGUUAGACAUGUCCAGACUGUCCCAGCUGCCCCAGGAGACUUCACUUUAGCCAGGAGAAGCCUUGGUGACCUCCCCAUUUCCCUGCCUACUUCCAGAGAGGCUCGUGGGGUUGGCAAUGACUUGGUCCAGGGCUGUGACUAAGGUACAAUUGGGUCUUGUGGCUGGAGGAAUAAGGGCUGCAUUUAUGCCUCCCUGAGACUGACCAUCUCUACCAGGCUUGGCCAGGAACAUCUUCUGCCUGUAAGAGCAGCCUGGUUCCAGUCUUAUGGGCAGUCAGGAUGCUGUCCUGGGUCCUGGCAUUCUCUUAGGGAGAAGCUGACCCUGUGAAUAUCAAAUGUUAAGAAAUGCUGGACUUGGAACAGAAGUCUGGUCCUAGGAGAUAGCCCAGAGGCCAGAACAUCAACAUGACAGGAAGUAAGUGUCCCAACCGGCAGGAGUUCAAAGGGUUCCUAAAGGAGAAGGUGAAAAGAAUGGGAGGACAGAGAGACAUGAAGAAGGAAGCCUAGUCUGUUUGUCUUAUCAAGCCCUUGCUUAUUAGAAAUUUUCACCCAACUUGUAUAGGGAGAAGGCAGGAAAGGGGGGAGGCGAAUUCCUGCUGUGGGAGAUAGCAAAAGUGCUUUCAUGGCUUGAUUAUUGCACAUGCAAGAUGCCAUAAGGAUGUUUUCUUAAGAUAUCUCACAGAUGCUCUAAGACUAACAGACGAUGUCCUCACAAACCUAUCACCCAUGACUUAGGGUCCUAGAUAACCCUUUCACUAAAUAGCUAUAGGUCUCCACUAAAUGACCUUUGCUCGCUAUUUGGCUUUGGUUUCAGUAAAUACGUUUGGCUCCCGGCAAAUUAGGAAGUGAGUGCAUAUAUUAGACUAGUGAGGAAAGAAUGCUAACAUGGACCCAAGCAGCCAUGGCCUGUGGCUGACCCACCUGCGGAACUUUAGUUAUUGGGUGGGAUACGAGAAGGCCUUCCCCUUUAAGGCAAAACGGGCGAGAAAGAAGAAUGAGACCAAGCUAAGUCUUGUCAAGGUCUGUUUAUUGUAAGCCAGGGUACAGACUAUAAAGGAGGAAAAGGAGGGAAUGGGGAGGAGGAAGGUGAGGUGUUAGGAGGGAGGAUUUCGAGCUGGAAUUUGCAUUGACUCCAGCUCAAAGGCAGGGGCUGUUAGUGCAGCUGUCUGAGGGCUACUAUCUUGCAAAUUCCCUCAGUAAGCCUUUUCUGUGCUAAUCUAUUCCUGACAUCUUGAGUCAACCUUUUUCUAAGGAAGGAAUGCUUUGUCUCCCAGCUCAAGGGUUGGUCAGAGGGACUGUCUGUCUUUGACUCAGGGUCAGUCUGAGAGAUUUCUCUGGCUCAUGGCUCAGGGUCAGUCUUUGGCAUGUGUCCUGAUGUGGAGCAUGGAGGCUGAGGCUGUGGACGAGAUGGCAGUGUCAGGGAGUAAGGGAGAGAGGAGGCAGGAUUCUCAGGCAGUGGAUCUGUGUGGACCAUGGUCCUUGCCUCUCUCCCUGUGACUUGUGUCCUGAUGCAAUCUUCCACUCUCUGAGAGUCCCAUAUGGGGUGUGUGGGAGCAGGGUCAGGGGAGACUGUGAGAUGGAAUUCUGGGAGAAAGACAUUUAUUAAAAGUGUUAUUGACUGCAGGACACACAGGGAACAGCACAGUCAUGCUCACAUGUCCACAGACAAACAGAAUGACGUAGGUCCAAGGACAGGAAAUCAGAGCCCACAAGGCAGAAGUGGGGUUCUCUUCUUGCUGUCCAAGGACAGAUGUUCCCAGCACCAUCCUGCAGCCACGUGCUCUGAUUCCCAGGCAGGAGGCAGGGAAAGGGUGGGAAGCAGGGUGUGAGGCCACCAGUCACUACUGUGAUGUCAGCUCCCCUCCCUGGUGAGAGAUCCUGGCACCUGGAGGUCUGUUAGCUAAGGUCUCACCAACAAGGUCUCCCCAGGCACCUGUGUGUGACCCUGAAAGGGAGUCACUCUUUCCAGAGUCACUGUUCACUUUGUACUAUUUGGGUCCCCAGGAAGUAAACCCAGGUCAGCAGGCUGGCGGGAGGCUCUUCUUCCCACAAAGCUAUCUCACUGACUCACGAUAUUUUAUGUCCAUUUAUUUAUAAUUUCAAAAUCCAUAAUUCAAAUAAAAUUAGAAAAAUGUUACAUCCAUGAUUCAUCACCAAAGGAAUCCACAUGUUUUUAAAGACAUGGACUCUUGUUGGCCUGGAACUCACCAGUUAAUUCAGCAUAGCUGGACAUCCAGCCCCAAGACUCUCCAUGUCUCUUGCUUGUUUAGGGCUGGAAUUACAAGUUCCUGCCCACCUCUGGCUUAUAAUAUGGUUGCUCAUGGUCCAACUUCGGUCCUCCUACCCAUGAGCAAUGCUUCUAUGACUGGACCAUCUCUCUGAGCCAUUCUCUCAUGUUCUUUUUUCCACAGAAACAUUCUCUCAUCUUCUGUGCCUGAUCGCCAGACUGCCUCUGGUCAUGAUGCCACAGGAGCCAGGGACAACAGCCUAGGUGGUGGACUGACUAGUCGUCACUGUCCUUUUGAUUUGUACAUAUAUAUAGCUUAUAAUUUCUCAGAUCUCUGAUCACAUGAUGGCUACGCUAGGCUAAUGAUAGCUUUGCUGCUAAAUGCAGACAAUUAGAUCCACUGUAAGUUCAUCGGUCUAUUCAUUAGCUAGUUAGAACUACUAAGUACUAGAUCUUUUAUUUAGAAAAUUAAAGAAGGUUGCCUUGGGCACAAGCUUCAUAUUAAUUGCCUAUGUCUUUGAGUGAAAAACUGUACAGAAAAAUGCAAAGUUUAUGUAAGGUAGGAGGAUAUGAAAGUUUAAGUUAUGAGGAUAUAAAAAAUUGUUUAAUGGUCUAGGAAAAUGUUUCAAAGUUGAUAAGUUCAAGAAAGAUUGGAGGGUCUAAAAAGGUGUUUUAAGGUAUGUGAAUGUAAAUUGUAGUGAUAUAAAAGAAUUGGGAGAUAUAUCAGAUUUCUCCCUCCCCUCUGCUAUUGUUGUUCCUAUCUUAUAAAAUUUCAGAAGUUCAGAGUUAGGACAUGGAUCAAUAGAGUUCUGAUAAGCUGAUGGAGCACUGAGUGCUUAUCAUUCAGUCACAAGCUUGAGAUUUUAAUUUCCUUUUGAUUGUCUUCUGAACAUAAACUUAAAGGUGCCUUUCAUCAUGCUAAACACAUCUGGCUAAUGUGUGUCUAUCUGACCCAAAAGCUGUAGCUUUUAUGAAGUCUUAAUGGCAUGAAUCUACUCCUGCUGGCUCGUAGACACCUGUUAACUGCUCUUUCUAAAGUAUGGAUCUUAAUACAAUGGUGAUACAAUAUACUUCCUUUUGGAAACUAAAAUUGACAAGAGUUUCAGAAAAUCAAAAACUCAGAAGACCUGGAAUGGCAUAGCUCAAACAGACCCCAGAUGAGUUUUCCCCUUUGUCUUGGGGUUCCUCACUUUUCCUAAUUACUAGACAAAUUUUAACUUGUAUCUCUAGUCUGAAUUUGUCUCAGCAGAUGUUCACCUGGCCGACAGAAUCUGUUCGGGGAUCAGCUAUGGAUUGCAAGCUGAAAUUUGGACUUGCUGGAAGCUGACAUGAUUGCUCCCUGACUCUCCAGGUGGAUCAACUAACCAGACACUUCUGAGGACUGCACCAGUGCCCAGCCUAUGGCUGGCAUUUUACCCUUCCUGGACCCUGAUGGGCCCAUGGUCCUCAGAUCCCUUGACCUGAGCCUGACACAAAUUCUCCUGGCCUCCCAGCCAUCUGCACAUGGAGACACUUCUGUGUCCAUCCUACACUCAGGGAAGCCGAGGAACAGAGGCUCUGGGUGAGUCACCCCAGAUGGACAGUCAGUCAGGAGAGGGGUCUGGGCCGACUGUCUCUGUCACAACGUGCUUUCUAUCUGUUUGUUUCUGAGUUUUUAAAAUGGAUGUCAAUUACACCAAACUGAACCUUGAACUUCUUAUGAAGCCAAGGCUGACAUUGAACUCCUCCAGAUGCUGCUGUCUGGCCCUCCAAGACCUGGAUUACACGUGUGCACCAUCACACCCCUUCCUCUGCUCCUGCAGGGAGAAUCCUGGUUCUGAGCAUGCCAGGCAAGCGAGCACUGUACCAGGGGAACCCUGUCUUUACCCUCAGCAAGGUCUGCGAGGGUAUCUCCUGGCCAUGAGUUCUCUCCUCCAGGUUCCAUCUGCAUUUCCCUCACUGUCUGGGGCCUGUGGGUAAAAGGUCAGCUGAUGGCUGACUCUCCCAAGGAGGGUCUGGACCUGACAGGAUGGCCACAUGUCAGCUCCUGUGUCCCAGCACACUUACAGCAGCCCUGGCAGGUUCUGCAGGACCACAGCUGGCCUGUGCUCAGCCCCACUGCUGCUCUCUGCUGGCUCCCUAACCCAAGUCCUGAGCUCUGCUCUUGUUCCACUCUGGACUCAGUUGGAUCCCCAUGGACACCCUGCUGUGGGUGUGAUUUCUGUCCAGGACGCUAUGGGCAGUCUCCUGCAGUGUGGUCCUGCUUCCCCAAACCAGUGACUGGGCCCUGCAGCCAUGCUGUUUUCCCAGGGGAGGGCAUGUUCUGUGGAAGAGCAGCCUGGGGUUCUGGUGUUCCCACAGGGGCUUUUGCAUACAUGUGACCACAGGGAGUGUCACCUGGGUGUGUCUCAGGUACAAGUGUGCCCUCAUGCUACAGAAUAACAAGUAAAUGUAAUUUGAAAAAUAAACCUUAAGUGUGA